GCCCAGGUGGUGGAAUUGGUAGACACGCUGGACUUAAAAUCCAGUGGGCAUUGCGCCCGUGCGGGUUCAAGUCCCGCCCUGGGUA
rnacentral:tRNA from 1 species